CGUAAUUUUCUACUCAUUGAUCCGUUUCUCCAAAACCCUAGAGCAGCACAAAGAAAAAAUUUGUUGUGGCAAUAGUUUCUUCUUUUUCUAGUUUCUUCGUAGGGUUUUAUUACUGCUGCCUUCCAUCCGAGCUAAUUCCAAGCCCAAACCCCAAAAUAGCCCACUUAUCAUCCCAUAUUCUUGGAUUAUUUUUCAAACUCUAUUAGAGCACAAGCUCACACUACGUAUGACAAGCAUCAACUAAAAUAACAAAAUCUUCUUUAAGCCCAUAAUUCAAUUCAUAACCGAGGCCCAUGGUUGAAACUUGACCAAUACAAUUGAUCCAUAGCCUAAACUGAUCCAACGACUUCUCGGUCUACCUCCCAUCGCUGACAACCAAGCACCUACAGAGUUGCCGCACGCAAAUAUCGCACUCAUACAACCAGUGGAUUCAUCUAGCCAGCCCUUUCACUCCUACCAUCACCAACCAUCAUUUGACGGCAUUCACCAUAUCCUAGUCACAACCCACACUCUCCUUCGCUGACCACCUACACCAAUCACUGUCGCCGCACUCGCUCACCACUACCAACACCUCUCUGCCAUUGCGAUAACAACAAACUUGGCCUCAUCUAACGUUUAUCCUACUCCCUGCCUUCGAUCCUUGCUCAUCAUUGAUACUUUGUCACUAUUGCUGUCGCCACUUCACCUCCACACUUAGUUUCUAUUCACACUAACAACACUGCCAUCGCCAGUCGCUGCCACCAUGAAAGUCACUACCUAUGGUAUAAUUCCUAUCCACCACCCUAUCCAGUCGAGGAAAUACACGAAAAUGNACACCGCUUGACCCCCAAAUAUUA
rnacentral:lncRNA from 1 species